rnacentral:rRNA from 1 species
AUGAACGCUGGCGGCGUGCCUCAUACCUGCAAGUCGAGCGCACAGACGAGGAGCUUGCUCCUCUGACGUUAGCGGCGGACGGGUGAGUAACACGUGGAUAACCUACCUAUAAGACUGGGGUAACUUCGGGAAACCGGAGCUAAUACCGGAUAAUAUAUUGAACCGCAUGGUUCAAUAGUGAAAGACGGUUUUGCUGUCACUUAUAGAUGGAUCCGCGCCGCAUUAGCUAGUUGGUAAGGUAACGGCUUACCAAGGCGACGAUGCGUAGCCGACCUGAGAGGGUGAUCGGCCACACUGGAACUGAGACACGGUCCAGACUCCUACGGGAGGCAGCAGUAGGGAAUCUUCCGCAAUGGGCGAAAGCCUGACGGAGCAACGCCGCGUGAGUGAUGAAGGUCUUCGGAUCGUAAAACUCUGUUAUUAGGGAAGAACAAAUGUGUAAGUAACUAUGCACGUCUUGACGGUACCUAAUCAGAAAGCCACGGCUAACUACGUG